rnacentral:tRNA from 1 species
GCCUGGGUGGCUCAGUUGGUUGAGCAUCUGACUUUUGCUCAGGUUGUGAUCUCGCGAUUUGUGGGCUCAAGCCCCCCAUUGGGCU